rfam:SAR92 bacterium BACL26 MAG-121220-bin70 contig06296_1_121220-bin70, whole genome shotgun sequence.
GCACCCGUAGCUCAGCUGGAUAGAGUAGGUGGCUUCGAACCACUUGGUCGGGGGUUCGAAUCC